CCUACGGGGGGCUGCAGUGAGGAAUAUUGGUCAAUGGGCGCAAGCCUGAACCAGCCAUCCCGCGUGCAGGAAGAAGGCGCUAUGCGUUGUAAACUUCUUUUCCGGAGGAAUAAAAUCUCGUACGUGUACGGGACUGAAGGUACUCCGGGAAUAAGCAUCGGCUAACUCCGUGCCAGCAGCCGCGGUAAUACGGAGGAUGCAAGCGUUAUCCGGAUUUAUUGGGUUUAAAGGGUGCGUAGGCGGACUAAUAAGUCAGUGGUGAAAACCUUCAGCUUAACUGGAGACUUGCCAUUGAUACUGUCAGUCUUGAGUAUGGUUAAGGUAGGCGGAAUGUGUAAUGUAGCGGUGAAAUGCUUAGAUAUUACACAGAACACCGAUUGCGAAGGCAGCUUACUGAGCCAUAACUGACGCUGAUGCACGAAAGCGUGGGGAGCGAACAGGAUUAGAUACCCUGGUAGUC
rnacentral:rRNA from 1 species